rnacentral:rRNA from 1 species
GACAGAGGGUGCGAACGUUGUUCGGAAUUACUGGGCGUAAAGCGCGUGUAGGCGGUCGUGCAAGUCGGGUGUGAAAGCCCUGGGCUCAACCCAGGAAGUGCAUUCGAUACUGCGCGACUGGAGUCCCGGAGAGGAUGGUGGAACUCUCGGUGUAGAGGUGAAAUUCGUAGAUAUCGAGAAGAACACCGGUGGCGAAGGCGGCCAUCUGGACCGACACUGACGCUGAGGAGCGAAAGCCAGGGGAGCAAACGGG